CAAAAUGCAUUAACAUUUUCUUGUUUUAAGAAGAAUGUUGAAAAAUUAAAAAAUAAUCUUAAGUAAAGAGAUAAUUGAAGUUAAUGAAAAUUGUUUCAAAGAAUUUUUGUAAAAAAAAAAAAAUAUUAAAGUUGUAACUUUAAUCCUUAUAUUUAUUUUUUUGUUGGUGAUAUUUAGGGAUUUUUUUCUACGACAUUGAGUUGUUAAUUUUGUAGGUUUUGUCUUUUGCAAUUGGAUUAUGGCUAAGAGCUUAAUGAGUACAAGAAAAUACAGUCAAUUUCCCAUGUGACAGUUCUCAUAUUAAAUAAUUCGUAAUAAAAAUGUAUUAAAAAAAACACUACUUUCCACAUUGUGGCAGGGUCUGGUGUUUAUUUGUGAAUUUGUUGUACAACUGUGUAUAUAAGAUCUCGUGUAUAUUUAAUGUGCUUAUGCCAGAAAAUGUGUAUAAAACUAUUGAAACACGAAAAAUAUGCAGUUAAAUUGUGGUGGUAAAUUGUAGAGUAAAGUGGCAGUAACUGAAAACAGCUACAACCACAACUACAAUGGCAAACUAAAUGUUAAAACGACAAACUAAUUUAAAUAAAUAAUAAAAAAAACCGACCAGAGGAGUGGUUAAGCAGCAACCGCAGGCAAUAGUUUAUGACACAAAAAACAAAAAUCAAUAAAAAUAAUUACAGUUUUAUAAUAGAAAAUACAAAAACAAGUACAAUACAACAACUAUAAUAUAGAAAAGUAUACUGGAAAAAAGUAAAUAAAAUAAAACACGUCAUGUUUAAAUAAAAAAAACGCCAGUUAUAACAAAUACGAAAAAAAAUCAAUCAAACUAAAUACACAGACAAAAUAAGAAACGGAAAGAGGAAAAAGGAAAUAUUAAGAAAAAUUUAAGGUAAAUAAUCGUUAUCGACAUCAUCAUUUUGAUGAUGAUUCACAUCAUUUAAAAAGUUUGUUACACAGUCAUCAUUAUUUUUUUCGGCUAAAAGUUAAUGAAUAUAAACAGCUAGCAGAACGAAAACAACAACAACAACAACAAUUUUAACAAAAUCAAAAGCAACAAAAUCUUCUUCACAGUUGGCUAAAAGAAAAACCAAAAACAAAAAAAAAAAAAAAUCUAUAAAUUUUUAUUAUUAAUGUCUUUCUAAAUAUUUUCUUCGUGUGCGUCUUCAGUUUCUCAAUGUAUUUAAGCGGGCGAGUUGCUAUCUAAACGUUUCAAGUUAAUGUGUCUGUGUUUGUGUUUUUAUUUAUAACCAAAAAAAAAAGUUUAUGAAAUUAAAAAUACAUUAUUUCAAGCUAUAACAUAUUGUUGUGGUGGUUAUUAUUGAAAGUUGAGAAAAAAAGUUAUAAAACGUCGAAAGAAAUAACGAAAAAGAAACAAAUAAUAAGCAAAUAAAGUCAAAAGAAAAAAAACCUACUACUAACAGCCUUUAUAAGUAACAAAUGUGUAAAAUAUUCAUAUUGAAAGUGUGCCGUAAAUAUUGAACCAAUCAUUGUUAUGUUAAUAAAUUCAAUGAAAAUAUAAUUUAUUGUCUGCUGUUGCCAGUCCUUCUUUUCAUGCUGAAGUGCAGACAAGGUUUUCUUUGGAAAAGUGCGUAGAGGAAUUUUUGCUGAAUAUUAAUAUUGCCGAGACAAAGGGAUACAUUUAUGCCGCCAACAGAAAAAGUGACAGUCAAAUAGCAAAGAAAAAAUAAAGCAACAAGAAAGGAGAAGAAACAAAAAAAAAAAAACAAAGCAGAUAAUAAAGGUAUCAACAGAAUUUAAAUGUAUUUAUGUGUAUAAAGGAUAAUUGUGACAUAAUGCUUAUUAAGCAGAAGCAUAACAUGAAUACACGCACAUGUUGGGAAGUACACAUUGCAGACAUAAAACUUUAAUAUACACAAGAACUACUGUUAACAGCAAAAGUAACCCAGCAAACAUAAGCUUUUUGGGAAAAACUUUUUAGUUUUAAACCAUUCUACACGUCUCAAGAUGCAAGAUCCAUUCAAUGUUGUGAAGUUAAAUCUUUUUAAAAUAUAUACGUUUACGAAUUUCUUUGGCUAUAGUUGGGAAAUGUAGGAGAUAGUUGUCAUUUCUCUCAAAAAUUUUGUAUUCUCACAUCCAAUUAUUUGAUAGCCAGUAGUAAAGCUUUUCUGAAUUUAAAACUGUGUCAAACUUCACAUUACAAAAACUCUUAUUCUAAUAAUUUUCAAAUUUGAAAUUUGGUUUCAGUAGCAUAGUUUCUUAAACCCAUGACGUUGUGCUUGCUGGGUAAAGACUGAAAUUGGUCGUUAAAGGAGAGAGAACGUGAAAAAAGUCAAAUAGAAAGACCGGCCUUUAUGGCAAGCACAUGUCACUAGUGCGACAAUUCAAAGAAAAAUUCAAACACGUUACACGUAUUUUAACAGUCAGCAACUCGAUUUUUUUCCUCAAUUUAUUUUGGACUUGUUGGGGGCUUUUGACAGCAGAAAAAAAUAUAUGUAUAAAACAUGCGUUUGAUAUUUUUUGCACACACACGUACGCAUGUG